AGUGAACGCUGGCGGUAGGCCUAACACGUGCAAGUCGAACGGCAGCACAGUAAGAGCUUGCUCUUACGGGUGGCGAGUGGCGGACGGGUGAGGAAUACAUCGGAAUCUACUUUUUCGUGGGGGAUAACGUAGGGAAACUUACGCUAAUACCGCAUACGACCUACGGGUGAAAGCAGGGGAUCUUCGGACCUUGCGCGAUUGAAUGAGCCGAUGUCGGAUUAGCUAGUUGGCGGGGUAAAGGCCCACCAAGGCGACGAUCCGUAGCUGGUCUGAGAGGAUGAUCAGCGACACUGGAACUGAGACACGGUCCAGACUCCUACGGGAGGCAGCAGUGGGGAAUAUUGGACAAUGGGCGCAAGCCUGAUCCAGCCAUACCGCGUGGGUGAAGAAGGCCUUCGGGUUGUAAAGCCCUUUUGUUGGGAAAGAAAAGCAGCAGGUUAAUACCCCGCUGUUCUGACGGUACCCAAAGAAUAAGCACCGGCUAACUUCGUG
rnacentral:rRNA from 1 species